AGAAGAAGAAGACGACGACGACGAAGAAGAAGUCGAAGAAGUGCAAACCUGCCGGCCGGCGGACUAACUGACUGACUCUCACUCCGUUGCAUCGGAAUGCUCUUGGAAAGCAGCAGACGAGCACUUGAAGGUGCAGGCUGAGAGGACCGCGGCCGUGUUCCAAAAGUGCAGCUCUGCUCUCUCCUGACGUCACUGGAGCAAAAGAAUUCCCUCUUCAGCCUUUGAGCUAUGCCGAGCAGCUGGUGGCCUCGCGGACGGUGCAGGACAACCGCACAAGCUGCAGCAACAACACAAGCGGCCUUUCCCUCCUCUCCAACAAGAGAAAAGCCUUGCUGGGUCCAAACCACUGGAGAGAAAAGGAACCUGGGACGUGAUAUCAUUCACCGCCAUACAGUUUCAAAGUAAACUGACUGAGAGCAUUUUGACUGAU